rnacentral:rRNA from 1 species
AUACGGGGGGGACUAACGUUGUUCGGAUUUACUGGGCGUAAAGGGUGCGUAGGCGGACCUUCAAGUCGGAUGUGAAAACUAUAGGCUCAACUUAUAGCUUGCAUUCGAUACUGUCGGUCUUGAGUGAAUUAGAGGAAAGCGGAAUUCCAGGUGUAGCGGUGAAAUGCGUAGAUAUCUGGAGGAACACCAGUAGCGAAGGCGGCUUUCUGGGAUUAUACUGACGCUGAAGCACGAAGGCUAGGGGAGCAAACAGGAUUAGAAACCCGGGUAGUCC